rnacentral:rRNA from 1 species
CCUACGGGCGGCAGCAGUAGGGAAUUUUCGGCAAUGGGGGGAACCCUGACCGAGCAACGCCGCGUGAACGAAGAAGUUAUUCGUAAUGUAAAGUUCUUUUAACAGGGAAGAAAGAGAAAUUUGACGGUACCUGAAGAAUAAGCUCCGGCUAACUACGUGCCAGCAGCCGCGGUAAUACGUAGGGAGCGAGCGUUAUCCGGAAUUAUUGGGCGUAAGGGGUGCGUAGAUGGCAUAGUAAGUCUUUUGUAAAAAGGCGGGGCUCAACCCAGUAGGGCAAAAGAUACUGCAAAGCUAGAGUAUGACAGAGGCAAGUGGAACUACAUGUGUAGCGGUAAAAUGCGUAAAUAUAUGUAAGAACACCAGUGGCGAAGGCGGCUUGCUGGGUCGAUACUGACAUUGAGGCACGAAAGCGUGGGGAGCAAACAGGAUUAGAUACCCCAGUAGUC